UGGGGGAUAUUGCACAAUGGAGGAAACUCUGAUGCAGCAACGCCGCGUGAAGGAUGAAGGUCUUCGGAUUGUAAACUUUUGUACUUGGGGACGAUAAUGACGGUACCCAAGCAGCAAGCUCCGGCUAACUACGUGCCAGCAGCCGCGGUAAUACGUAGGGAGCAAGCGUUGUCCGGAUUUACUGGGUGUAAAGGGUGCGUAGGCGGCCAUACGAGUCAGUUGUGAAAACUAUGGGCUCAACCCAUAGCCUGCAAUUGAAACUGCGUGGCUUGAGUGAAGUAGAGGUAGGUGGAAUUCCCGGUGUAGCGGUGAAAUGCGUAGAGAUCGGGAGGAACACCAGUGGCGAAGGCGACCUACUGGGCUUUAAGCUGACGCUGAGGCACGAAAGCAUGGGUAGCAAACAGGAUUAGAUACCCUGGUAGUCCAUGCUGUAAACGAUGAUUACUAGGUGUGGG
rnacentral:rRNA from 1 species